rnacentral:rRNA from 1 species
ACUCCUACGGGAGGCAGCAGUGGGGAAUCUUAGACAAUGGGGCAACCCGUGCAUCUAGCCAUGCCGCGUGAGUGAUGAAGGCCUUAGGGUUGUAAAGCUCUUUCAGCUGGGAAGAUAAUGACGGUACCAGCAGAAGAAGCCCCGCCGUACAUCCGUGCCAGCAGCCGCGGUAAUACGGAGGGCGUAGCGUUGUUCGGAAUUACUGGGCGUAAAGCGCACGUAGGCGGACCGAAAGUCAGAGGUGAAAUCCCA